ACACACGGCCACACCACCCUGAAUGCACCUGAUCUCAUCUGGUCUUGGAAGCUGAGCAGGGUUGGGCCUGGUAAGUACUUACUUGGAUGGGAAAAAGAGCAGGCAGAGGCUGCCUGCC
rnacentral:rRNA from 1 species